rnacentral:tRNA from 1 species
AGACAAUAAAUCGAUUGUGAUGUCUAGGUAAUUUAUUCUUAGGCCACAAUCCUGUCACCUUAAGGUCGAUCGGUACCUCAGAUUUUUGAAUUGAUUUUAUAAUUAAUUCUUUGAUUUCAGUUCCUAAACUUGUCUAGGUCACACCCAACAAAGGUUUCUCCUGGGCCAUUAGCUCAGGUGGUUAGAGCGCACCCCUGAUAAGGGUGAGGUCCCUGGUUCAAGUCCAGGAUGGCCCAUUCGUUGUUGGGGGUAUAGCUCAGUUGGUAGAGCGCCUGCUUUGCAAGCAGGAUGUCAGCGGUUCGAGUCCGCUUACCUCCACUGAAAACUAUCCUGAUAACUAAAUUCUGGAGAAGAUUUGUAUAUGUGGCUUAGAAUUGUCUAUUUGAAAAGAACCUAGCUUCUUAUCAUCUUCUUAAUAGUUGAUAAUAUGCUGGACUCCAUGGAGUUAUUCCAUGAGAAUUCAGUAGAACCUUGAAAACUGCAUAGAUUAGAAAGAAUAAAGCAUCUCAUGGAUGCAUAAUUCUGUUUUGAUUUUUUAGCGUUAAAACUAAACGAUCAAUUCUCAGAAUUCAUGUUUAAGUCUUGAGUAAUAGCCGAGCACAAUUGAUUUUGUGUUUGUAUUUAA